ACGUGCUAGAUGUUUUAAGGGAACUGAAUCCGUGACUCAUUCCAUUGGGAUGUCACAGCAGUUUCAGUGACCAUUUCUCAACGUACAUCUCACAUGCACGCUUCUUAAGAGAGGAAGGCUCUGGUCAGUCCAGUUUUGCAGAGGAGGAGGGAAAUUGAGACCCGGGAUGGGAAGUGACUGGCUCAAGGUCAUACAAGGAGUCUCCAGCAGAGUUGGAAUCAAAAGGAAGGUCUCAAGAAUCAAUUCAUGUGCUUGUUCUUCUUGGGCUGCCGUUCCCAACUGUGUGCAGAGGCACCCUGGGUGCUUCAGCAGGCUCACAGGACCACCACAAGCUAUUUCAAAUCAUUGAGGUAAUCAUAGUGGUACCUGACACCUUUCAAACAUCAAGCUUGAGUUCAUUCACGGUUCCAGCAUUAGAGCACAUCGCAUUCCUUUGGAUGAUGUCAUAUCUUUGUGACGCUGGGUUUUCAGGUGGUGACUGUGAUUAAAAAAAAAAAAAAAGCAAGAUCUGUGCCAAAUCAAUGUGGAACAGGAAAUGAGAGUGGUAGAUUCCAAACAAAUUCUGAGAUUUCAGAAGCUAUGCAGAGCCUAACAGGCACACACAUUUAAAGCUGAAAUAAAAAUAUUAUUCUUUUUUUUUCAAACUGAUAUGGGAAGUGUAAAGGAAUCCAAGAUGGCUACCUCGUCCUGGAGGAACUUCUCCUAAUCUUUGUUCCCAGGAUCUUACCCUUCCCGCGCUCGUGAAUCAGAAGAUCGCCAGGUAUGUGGAAAUGAUCAAUAUAUAAAUCUACUUGCUUGCCUUUGUUCAGGGCUCAGACUCUGGAGAAGGACUCCUCUGAGCCUGCCGGGAUAGAUAAACCUCCUUUAAUUUUUAGUUCGUUGAGUGCCACUUGGUUCUUCUGAGUACGCAGGCCAAAAUACACAACAUUUUGGAUCCCUGACCAGGAAACCCAACUGCGCUGGCCCUUUGAAGCCACCAGUUUGGGCACAACGCCUGGAUGCUGGUCGCCAAGGCAACUGAGGAACUAGAAGGUACACCCCGCCCCAGUUGGGCGGUCUUGAGCCCAGCUGCACUCCGCCCCGCUGCUCCGUUGUAUCCCCUGGACUCUGAGCAGCGAGAACAAGGAGAUUCAGCGGAUCUACAUCAAACGCGGAAUUGGAAUGGCAAUCAUCUCCCCAAGGAGCUGGACAAACUUUCAGCGGUCGCUGUUGGCGAUCUCCUUCUGGUCUUUGGUAGGCCUGCUUGCCACCAAAUUCCUUCCUCGGACACCAAUGACUGCCAACAGGACCCUGACCACCAGAUAAGAUCUGCAAGCCCUGCUCUGAUCACUCCGUGGGCUGAUCAGUCUACGCACGGCCGAAGCUUGAGGAUGGCUCCAAUCAAGGUGAUCAUCGUUCUAGGACUCAUGAGGACUGUUUUCCCUGCUUCAGGACAUUGGAAAUUCCAGGUUAUUCGGACAUGGCGGGGAUGGAGGGAUAGUUAAUGCCACUAGGUGGGACGGGCACCGCCACCCUGUUACCCUCCAAUUUGAUGCUUGUGGGGUAAUGGAACCCAAAUCACGGACAAAUUGUGGUGGGCUAGGAUGGGAACGGUAUUAUGCUACGCAACAUAAAUACCUCUGUUUUAAGUCAAGAGAGAAGGGUGACUGUGACGAUGUAGGAGAAUUCUACUGCCCCUACUGGAGUUGCCCCCAUGCCCAUUCGGGGGUUCUAAGCAGCGGAGUAACCCUCCUUAGGCCCCCGGCGAACUGCUCCUUUGGUCACUGCAACCCUACUUCCUAUGACAUCAAGGACCCAGGGGACUCCAAAUGGAGCCAAGAGGUGAUAGUUGGGGUCAGGAUAGAUGGGAAAGGAAAAGAUCCAGGAGCUCUCAUUAAGAUAGUCAAGUCCUGGGUGGUCAAUCCUACCUCUCGCCUGAGGCUCAAACCCCACAGUGCCAACCCCUCCCACAGUCUGUCUCCCCACUUCUUACCCCCUCCAGACAUGCGGCCCCCCUGAAUUCCCACUCUGGGAAAUUGUCAAUUCUACCCAUCAACUUCUGCUACUAACCAACUCCUCCCUAGGGUCCAACUGCUAGCUCUGCACUUCUAUGACUACCUGGACCUAUACAGGCCUUGGGGUAAAUGGUAUCGUCACCCCUCAGCAUUCUGGGACUGCCUGGCCUGUCUGACCCUCAGUAACGUUGGUUGGUAAUACCACCUGUGUUUAAGGUACAGGAACCCAGCCUAAUGUAACUGCUGAUUGCACCCAAAUCUGGCAGCUAAAUUCCAAUACCUGUACUGGCCUCCAAAUGGCACGUAUUUCUCUUGCUCAGAUGGGGUGUACACCUGUCUCGACGGGUCACGGUGCAGCUUAUGUGCCAUAACUAUUCUAUUGCCUAACCUCUCGGUUAUGCCCGGCUCUGAUGUAAUCUACCUGGCGGAGCCAAUCAGGCCCCGAAUUCGCCAAGCACCCAUAUUAAUACCGGUGCUGGCAGGAAUUGGGGCAAUAGGGGGAAAUUUCUCUGGAGGAGCCACAAUAGGCGUAGCUAAACAUCAAUUCCUUCAACUGUCCGCUCAUAUAGAUACAGACCUCAGUGCCUUAGAGAGUGCUCUAAAUACACUCCAAGAUCAGGUAGACUCACUGGCAGAGGUUGCUCUGUAGAAUAGAAGGGCCCUCGACCUGCUUACCGCCAGCCAAGGGGGCACGUGUCUUUACCUUAAAGAACAACGCUGUUUCUAUGCCAAUAAAUCUGGAGUCAUACGAGAAAACCUAA